CCUGCUCAGGAUGAACGCUAGCGGCAGGCUUAACACAUGCAAGUCGAGGGGCAGCGCGAGGUAGCAAUACUUGGCGGCGACCGGCGGAAGGGUGCGUAACGCGUGAGCAACAUGCCCGUAUGAGGGGGAUAGUCAUUGGAAACGAUGCGUAAUACCCCGUAACAACAGAGGCGGCAUCGCCUUUGUUUGAAAGAUUUAUCGCAUACGGAUUGGCUCGCGUGACAUUAGCUAGUUGGCGGGGUAACGGCCCACCAAGGCGACGAUGUCUAGGGGAACUGAGAGGUUGGUCCCCCACACUGGAACUGAGACACGGUCCAGACUCCUACGGGAGGCAGCAGUGAGGAAUAUUGGUCAAUGGGCGGAAGCCUGAACCAGCCAUGCCGCGUGAAGGACUUAAAGGCCCUAUGGGUCGUAAACUUCUUUUGACGGGGAGCAAUAAGGGCGUCGCGCACGUCCGAUGAGAGUACUCGUCGAAUAAGCAUCGGCUAACUCCGUGCCAGCAGCUGC
rnacentral:rRNA from 1 species